CCUACGGGAGGCAGCAGUGGGGGAUAUUGGACAAUGGGGGGAACCCUGAUCCAGCGGCGCCGCGUGAGUGAAGAAGUAUUUCGGUAUGUAAAGCUCUGUCAGCAGGGAAGAAAGCAAUGACGGUACCUGACCAAGAAGCCCCGGCUAACUACGUGCCAGCAGCCGCGGUAAUACGUAGGGGGCAAGCGUUAUCCGGAAUCACUGGGUGUAAAGGGAGCGUAGACGGCGGAGCAAGCCUGAAGUGAAAGGCGGGGGCCCAACCCCUGGACUGCUUUGGGAACUGUACGGCUGGGACGCAGGAGGGG
rnacentral:rRNA from 1 species